CCUACGGGAGGCAGCAGUGGGGAAUAUUGGGCAAUGGGCGCAACCCUGAUCCAGCAACGCCGCGUGAAGGAAGAAGGCUUUCGGGUUGUAAACCUCUUUUCUCAGGGACGAAGAUAGUGACGGUACCCGAGGAAUCAGCCACGGCUAACUACGUGCCAGCCGCCGCGGUAAUACGGAGGCGGCAAGCGUUAUCAGGAUUUAUUGGGUGGAAAGGGCGUGGAGGCGGGAGCGCAAGUCAGAUGUGAAAACUCAGGGCUCAACCCUGAGCCUGCAUGUGAAACUGUGUGUCUUGAGUGCUGGAGAGGCAAUCGGAAUUCCGUGUGUAGCGGUGAAAUGCGUAGAUAUACGGAGGAACACCAGUGGCGAAGGCGGAUUGCUGGACAGUAACUGACGCUGAGGCGCGAAAGCGUGGGGAGCAAACAGGAUUAGAUACCCGAGUAGUC
rnacentral:rRNA from 1 species